CCUUCUUGGUAGGUAGCCUUUAGUGAUUUUUCUAUCCUUAUAUUCAACAUUUUAACACAUGCCCAAUCCCUUCCAAAGAGACAUUGAAUGCAUACCUAAAAUGAAUGUAUGAGUAAAAGCAUCAAUAAAUGAAUGACUAUAAGAUGUCACAUGCUACAAAAGACAAAUACUCAAAGCACUGUUAGAGCCCUAUCCCUAGGUCAAUGAGAGCUUCUUGGGAAGGAUUUGAGGUAACCCUGAGAGCUAACCAGGAUGUCUAUGACAAUAACUACAGGAGCACAGGAUGGUCUAUCUGCUCAAAGACUCUCACGAAGUAAAUGAGGUAAAGAAAGGGUAAGGCAUGCAAGCAGAAAGGUUGGAGCAGUGAGCUGGGCUGAACUGCAUGGAGGCCCAAAGGCUGCAGGCAGGAGGGACUGCUCCACACAAACAAAACAUCAGGGUUUAUCAGGACUGUGUGAGAAAAUUCUGAAGGUACAUGCACACAAUAUACCUCCUUAUACACUAUUUGAGGGCAAUAAAGGAG